GGUCUGACAUGCUGCUGUUUGCAUACAAAGUCGGACACCGAACAGCAGCUACUAGUUAAUAUUUAGCAGGGUUUAAAUGUGCCACCUGCCAUCUGUCGCUCACCGAUUUUGAAGUGUUUUUGUAUUUCUUAGGAGACAGGACAGGAGUAGCUCAGAGUUGAGAACAGAAGUCAGAGAUAUUGAAUGAACCCCGAGCCAGAGUCUCGUGUCUUCCCUUAUCAGCAAACAUCAGACUGCUCUGCAUCCCUCCAGCUUCAUUUGUUGUAGCCAGUGAAGCGAACACACACAGUUUAUGUAAAAAUAAUAUCGAGUCUCUCAGGAGACGUUUUAUCUACAUGCUCCAUGUUUGUCCUGGAAAUAACUCGUGAGGUACGUGCAGUUUCUCCAGACUCAUUCUUCUCGCUCUGUCAUUCCAUAAAGAGUGUUCUCCUCUACAUCUCGACAUCAACACUCGUUACACUGUGUCCAGAUCUCAGUAUAAAUAUUUCUCACCAAGUUCUGUCUUUUUUCCCCAGUUAUUGUUCUUUUUUUCUGUUAAUUUUUUAAAACAACAACAUUUGAGACAGGUUUGUUUUAAAGGUUUAUUUAAACAUGCAGCAUCUUUUGAUUAUUAGUAUUUAGUAUUAUUAUGGCAGAAUUACAAAACAAUUCCAAAAAUUAAAUGCAAUGUGCAUUAAAAUAUUUAAAAACAUUCAUUUAUUCGUUUAGCAUUGCAUUGCAUUGCAGUAGGGAGAAAACCUGCUAAAUUUGUAUGAAAUUCCCAUACUAAAUGUAAUUUAUUAUUAUUUAAAAAAGAAAUUGUCCCAAAAAUUAAGCUCCAUUUUGAAUACGUUUCAAUUUUUAAUUUGAUUGUAUUCUAUUUGAUUUGUUUGUUGAAGAAGAAGCAGCUUCUGAAACGAGGUUGGUACUUCAUUUAAACCUCUCCUGAACCAUGAACGAGCAACAUCUGCUCAAUAACAUUGUUUCUCUAGUGAUUUUCCUCUUUUAACCUAACAAUUCUUUCUCUUUUUUUUUUUUUUCCACCGUUGUUCUCAUGUCGUUUUCUCUUUCAUAGCUCCAGUCUGGAACCCGAUAAGCGGCAUGAACAGAAAGAGGAAUGAGUGAGGAAACCUCUUUCUCCACUUUGCUCUUUCUGGAGACCCUGAGCUUCGGUCACAGUGUUAUAUGAACCUUGUGAUAUAGGCUUCAGCGUCCUUUCUGUGCGGUUCUCACGGGACGGCCCCAGAACAGAGGAGCAUUGUGGGACAGAAGGCCGACGAUUUACAUGUUGGCCGGUGGACGAGGAAUGUUGGCGAGAGCCGCGAAAACCAGUUUUGCACAUCGACCCACAACAAUGACAUUGGAUUAAAAAUGGCAUUUGCAGAAUCUGAGAUGUUAACUGAUGGACUGGAGUGGAGUGGAUUAUUGUGAUGUUUUUAUCAGCUGUUUGGACUCUCAUUCUGACGGCACCCAUUCACUGCAGAGCAUCCAUUGCUGAGACACUGAUGCAAUGCUACAUUUCUCCAAAUCUGAUGAAGCAACAAACUCAUCUACAUCUUGAGCCUGAGGUUCCCUCAACAGAGCCAAGAAAAGCAGACCGGACAUCAUGUUUGUGGAGAGAUCAGAGGAUUGGAUGCAUUUGGUUUGGAUUCAACCGCAUUGUCGCACCUCAUAAUCUGAAAGGUCCUCCAUCACCACAACGAGCGCAAUCAGGCCGUACGUCUCCAGGCUAAUGUUCUGUUUGUGUUGGUCGCCGUUGAGCAGAUGCGGAGGGCCAUCUGGGGCCACGAGAGGCACAUAACCGUCUGGCCAG